CUAUCGUUGAGGACUUUGUACUUUGAAGCUUUGUUUACUUCAUUCAUGGACCGUUGAUGCGCAGUAACAAAGAAAUUCGGUGAAUGUGUUUGUGCCAAACCAAGCGGAAAACUGAUGCUAGGACAACAAAGAUAAUAUAUCGAAACACCAUGUCACUCUCGGGUGCAACAACAACCUAAUUGGCAAUCUGAUGACAUCCAACGCCUUUGGAAAUAUAAGUAUGCACUGUGGCGACUUCGUAUAAAAACCAGUUAUCAGAUGUCUCGUGACCGCCUGACAGGUUGAACAAUGGAUAUCAUCUUGAAAUCUCUGGAACGUUAUCGCCCUUUAUUUCACAACAGACAGGAGGCUCCUGACACCGGUCUGUCGGUGGCGAGGCCUGACGACUGUCUGUUGGUGGCGGCCAUAGACUUCGGAAUGACCUAUUCCGGAUGGGGAUUCUCGUUUAAUUAUGAGUUCCAAACUGAUCCAACAAAAAUUUCCACUUUGAAUUGGUCUGAUGGCAAAACGAUUUCUCCGAAAGGCUAGAUAUAGAAUACCUUUUUGCUAGAUCAAUGCGUGUUAGCAACGUUACAGACUAAUCCCAUUAUUGUGACUUUUGUUUAUAUGAACACAUUUCUAUCAACGGAUUGAUACAACUAAUCCUAAUCUAAAAAAUCAAAAUUCGUGCGCAACUGAUAAAUGGAAUAUUACAAUACUUGAGUGUACCGGUGUGUUUAAAUAAAUUAAUAGCUUUUAA